GACUGAAUGUGAGCUGGACAUAUACUAAGACUGGAAAUGAUACAGAGAAGAUUAGUAUGGCCCCUGCACAAAGAUGAUAGGCAAAUUCGUGAAGCGUUCUGUAUUUUU